rnacentral:sRNA from 1 species
GGAUGUGACGAAGAUCUAAGUACAAUAUCUCUCACCAUUGAUUGUCAUGGUCGAUUUGGGUGAUCUAGUUAGCUAAGGAGGUGUCCCUUUCCUCCCUCAGCAUUCUAAGUGCAUCCUUCUCAAAGCUGCAUCCUCAGAGAAUAACUGUCCCAACAUUUGGGAAUGAUGUAGGCAUGCAUUGUCCACUAAAAGACUGAGUUAAAAAUUAAGGUCAUGACAUAAGCACUGUACUGAGUUUCCUGGCCAAACUU